GUAUUUCAUAUGGUGACAUCAAUUAUAUUUUUUGAUAUUUGUAAAAAAUUUAUACUAGUUGGAACAAAUAUUGGUAUGUGUCCAAGAAUUGAUACAUGGAGUGAUCUUUAAAAGGCAGAAUCACAAUACGUUUUGGAAAACAUUAUUUGUCAGUAAACGGUUGAAAGGAGUUUCUAGACGAAAAAUGUUAUUACAUGUAUUUUAUAGGACGAGUUUAAACAGAAAGUCUCUUCGAAUUUAUAGAUACUCAGUUAAAAAAAUAUCAAAUGUCUACACAGGACUGUUAAAUAUAUAUCUUAGUUUUUUAUGCGUUUUGCUUACAACAGGCUAUUAUUUGAACUUGGAUUUAUCUUUAAUUAUAGAAUUUAUGGGCUUAAAAUUUUAAAUAAAUUUCAUUUUUUUUUGGUAGUCUUAUGUUUUGAGCGGUUCACUAACACUUUUCAUACAAUGUAUUUUGUAUAGAUAGUGUUGUGUGCGACACAGUACAUUAUAUUGAAAAUGUUUUACUGUCUUUGUAAUAGAAAGUGUUGUGGGCAGAACAAAACAUUAAUGAACAGAAUAAACAUUGAAUGUAUUUAAAAUUUCCAAAAAAUAGCCAGUUUUACGUCAAAUAUAUGCCAAUCUAUUAGUUGUUAUUUAAGUUUAUCAAUCAUCCAAGGAGAAUAUAAUCAGAAACAAAACAAAGAAUGGAGGAAUUCAUCGUUUUGUGGGUAUAUAUAAGUAUUUUAACUUUUUUUCUUAAGAAACAGUAAAUAGUUUUUAAGGAACCUUUCUGGAAACCAAUAUUUCCCGAGUCAAUUCUACAUUAUCAUGGUUAUAUGUGCAUUCAUAAUAUUAUAUAUAAAACCGCUUUUUGGAUUGUUUGCUUCUGUAGUAUUUGUCAGCUAUUAGGUUCCUCUAGUUUUACCCAUGUAUUGCCACUACAAAUUUUGCUCAAUAAUCUCUACUUUUAUAAACAUAAUUCUGAUAGUUCAAAAGUCUUUUUUUAAAUCCUUGUUAUUUCUUCAUGAUUUGUGAAAGUAAAAGGUGCCAAUAUAAAAUUUAUGAAACAUCGAGAGGAAACCAUUGCAAGCCAAAUUUUCAAUUGAUUAUAUCCCUAAAACAAGGACACUGACAUUUACAUUUUUUUUCUACUUUUUAAGUUUCUUUAUAUACUUACUUUCAAUUUGAUAAAGUCUUUAAAAAGGCUGGUUAUUUUGAAACACAGGACCAAAUAUCCUUAAACUUUUGGUCAAUCUAACGAAUUGUUUAAUAAAGAAAAUAUGGAAUUUUAUGAUUGGUAGAUAUAAUGAUAGGAAAUAAUAAGACAAAUUUGUUGGUUGUUUUAUUAAAUACGAGUUGUUUAGUAUAGGUUUAAAUGAUAUUUGGUAUUAUCAAGGUUUACUUUUAGAUAGUAAGCUCGUCAGUACUUUUUACUGAUAAUUAGUCCCUAGUGUGGACAGUGUGUAACCUGCCAUUUUUUAAUACCCCUUCCAAAUGUAUUUCUUCAUGUUUAUGCCUCACAUAGCAAGUACGGGGAUGAAUUUACACUUUUAGAAAAUAAAUUGGGUUAUAAAUGUGAAAGUCAAGUAUAUAGUGAUAUAGCAUGUUUAGUCCAGCUAAAAAAAUUAAACAUAAAUUCAUCCAUAUUUUGAGUAAGAAGCAAUGAAGUUUUCAAUAAUUUUGGUAUAAUUUGUCCCAAAAGUAGUACAACACACUGUAAAAAUACUAUUCAGAAAGGUUGGAUUUUUUUUAAUUUUCAUUUAUUGUCUUAAAGAAAUGCACUACGAAAUAACUGUGGUCUCGGACCAGUUUAUUAUAAGACACGUAUUACCAAAAUAAGACUUAGUAGUCAUGAAUCUUUAGAAUGUGGAAGCUUUUUUUGCAAUUCCAAUAGAUGCAUUUCAUUUUAAAAUGUCUUGCAUGUAGAUCAUAUUUUCUCGAACCUUAUUAUUUGAGAAAACCUUCUAUGUAUUAAUACAUACCAUUAAUUUACUCUUAUAUGUUUGUCCCCUAACAUGAUAUAUACAUUCACAUAUUAACACCUACAAUUAUCUUAGAGAAUUAUGUAGUUUGAGUAAAUUUAUAUUUCAUGCACAAAAAUUAAGAUCUAACAAGUUGUAAUAUGUUUCACACUACCUUUUGCUAUACAUGUAUACUUUGUGUAGUUUAUAUGUUGUAUGCAUAUAGUUGUUAUGAGUGGUUAAUAAAGAUUAUUAUUAAUACAAAAA
rnacentral:lncRNA from 1 species